rnacentral:rRNA from 1 species
ACGUAGGGGGCAAGCGUUAUCCGGAAUUAUUGGGCGUAAAGAGUGCGUAGGUGGUUUUUUAAGCGUGAGGUGAAAGGCAAUAGCUUAACUAUUGUAAGCCUUGCGAACUGGAAGACUUGAGUGCAGGAGGGGAAAGUGGAAUUCCUAGUGGAGCGGUGAAAUGGGUAGAUAUUAGGAGGAACACCAGGGGCGAAGGCGACUUUCUGGACUGGAAAUGACCCUGAGGCGAGAAAGCGUGGGGAGCAAACAG